rfam:Myotis brandtii contig295370, whole genome shotgun sequence.
AGGCCUGGAGAGAGAGAGGCAGGGUCUGAUUUGCAGCCUCAGUGGCAGCUGUUGAUCAGGCGUUGCCUCUCUCUUUCUCUCCA